GACGAAUGCUGGCUGCGUGCUUAACACAUGCAAGUCGAACGGUGAAGGAGGGCUUGCCCUCCGGAACAGUGGCGAACGGGUGAGUAACACGUGGGCAACCUGCCCCUCACUCUGGGAUAACGCCGGGAAACCGGCGCUAAUACCGGAUACGACCAGGCGCGACCUCCCCCCUGGUGGGAAGAAUUUCGGUGAGGGAUGGGCCCGCGGCCUAUAAGCUAGUUGGGGGGGUAACGGCCCACCAAGGCGACGACGGGUAGCCGGCCUGAGAGGGGGACCGGCCACACUGGGACUGAGACACGGCCCAGACUCCUACGGGAGGCAGCAGUGGGGAAUAUUGCGCAAUGGGCGAAAGCCUGACGCAGCGACGCAGCGUGAGGGACGAAGGCCUUCGGGUUGUAAACCUCUUUCAGCGGGGACGAAGCGAAAGUGACGGUACCCGCAGAAGAAGCACCGGCUAACUACGUGCCAGCCGCCGCAGUAACAC
rnacentral:rRNA from 1 species